GUGCUCACUUCGCAGCACACACACUAAACACUGGAACAGCACAGAGAUCAGCAUGGCCCCUGCACGAGGAUGACAUGCAAAUUCUUGAAGCGUUCCAUUAAAAA
ensembl:snRNA U6 U6 spliceosomal RNA